CGCUGCAGCAGCAGCGCCACAAGAAGAAGGUGGAGAAGGGGCUUCUCCUUUGGCUGCAGAGCCUCUCCAGGAGCCCAGCACAGAUCUCCGCCCAGCAGCAGCUGACAAAGCAGGAGCAGCAGCCACUCCCUUGGUUCCUGGGCACCAGGUGGCCAUCGAGCAGGGAGGCCAAGCGCAGUCCUCCUCCUGCACCAAAGAUACGACAGCAGAUGAGCCAGCAACAUCCCAGACACAAGCACCAUCCCAGGAUCUGUUGGCCGGGCCUGUUCAGCGCAGCGAGCAGCAGCAAGCACAAGGCAUCCAUGACCUCGCACAAGCCCCGGCACGCCAGCCACGGCCCUCCCGCAUCAGGAGGGCACUUCGCGCGCUGCGCAGGGCUUUCCGCUGCAGCUGCAUCACAGGACAGCGAGAGUAGCCGCGCCCGGCUGUGCCAGUACCAGGAGGAUGCUCGGAGCUGGCAGCUGGCCCUCAGGAAGCUUUGCAGCGCCCACGGAAGCAUCACUGCGAGGCACAGGACAGCGCCCCAGGAAUUCAGAUGCCCCACCACAUCCUGCCCCCAGCC
rnacentral:lncRNA from 1 species